UCCCCCCUCAAGAACAAGAUAGCAAGAUGUCGGACUCUCUCGACGCCAUUCGCAAGGCGCAGGAGGACAGAUUCUUCAAGCUCGAGCAGGAGAAACACCUUCAAGCCUACGUGGUGAGUCCCCGGACAUUUUCCUGCGCCGUUUCUCGACUACGUCCUGACCCGUCCCAUCCCCGCGUCCUCCCCCCGCGAUGUCCCAGAAAAAACUCAAAGCCUCUGGCAGGUUCGACCAGAUUCCCGCAAGCGCGCCUCGCACCUUCUCCGCGAGCGCGCUGCCUCAGGUUUUGGCGCACGAGCUGCGUUUGUCCACCCCCGUCGAGGAGGUGCUCGAGCGAAGGCAGCUCGACCGCUCGUUCAUGACCCGCCAGAUCAUCAAGGGCGUGUGCACCGGCGACCCGUACCUGAUCAAUUCCGUGACGCUCGGGUCUCGGGUGAGCAUGGGCAAGAACAAGUGGAGCGCGGGCAC
rnacentral:lncRNA from 1 species